rnacentral:rRNA from 1 species
AUUGAACGCUGGCGGCAUGCCUUACACAUGCAAGUCGAACGGUAACAGGUCUUCGGAUGCUGACGAGUGGCGAACGGGUGAGUAAUACAUCGGAACGUGCCUAGUAGUGGGGAAUAACUACUCGAAAGAGUGGCUAAUACCGCAUGAGAUCUACGGAUGAAAGCAGGGGAUCGCAAGACCUUGUGCUACUAGAGCGGCCGAUGGCAGAUUAGGUAGUUGGUGGGAUAAAAGCUUACCAAGCCGACGAUCUGUAGCUGGUCUGAGAGGACAAUCAGCCACACUGGGACUGAGACACGGCCCAGACUCCUACGGGAGGCAGCAGUGGGGAAUUUUGGACAAUGGGCGCAAGCCUGAUCCAGCAAUGCCGCGUGCAGGAUGAAGGCCUUCGGGUUGUAAACUGCUUUUGUACGGAACGAAAAGCCCUGGGUUAAUACCCUGGGGUCAUGACGGUACCGUAAGAAUAAGCACCGGCUAACUACGUGCCAGCAGCCGCAGUAAAAC